UUUGACAUCAUGGCCAUUGGCUAGUGUGUGCAAGAAAUGUAUCCGAUUGCCAUUCGGGAACCAGUACGCUAUCUUUCCCCUAGCUCACUCUGACAUGGACUGAUAUCUAGCAAAACAUAGUUUUGCAUUUUGUGCAUUGACUCUACAUUUUAAAACAACAACAACUUUAUUGGGAUGAUGAAUGAGGAGUUUCAUUGCCUCUUUAUUUUAUGUUGCUUAGGUUCACCCCAAUUUCGUAUUGUUAAGUUCCCAGAAGAGGGCAACAGCAUAGCCAUUGUACAUUCAACAUGGAUACAAAACGGGAAAUGUUCAUGGCCAAACAAAAAGAAUCCAAGACGUCUUCAGUAGAUUACAAUGAAAGGUCUGCAGCCCCAAGCAAGUUGGCCAGCACAUGACUGCAUCGAAGUUUUUGCGUUUGAGACGUAUCAGGCGGCACGAAGAAAGCUAAGGCAAGCCGGAGAAACUUCAGACCUAUAUAGUGAACCUGACUUGGCCGAGGACAAAGAAAGAAAAAAUGCAAAGUACACAGUGACCAUGAAGUACAGCUCUCCCAAGUUGGUGCAGCACGUUCACAUCAAGCUAGCGGCAGCUCAGAAGACGAAGGAUACAGUGCACCACCCCCUCCGAGACCACCGACACCGCCUCAAUCAGCAUUUUUUGGUUCCCAAAGUUAUGCACAGCCUACCGAUGGACACACUGAA